ensembl:snoRNA
CUUCCCAUUUAUUUGCUGCUGUAGUCUCUUGGUGAUACGAGCAGUUAUACGCAUGGGAUAGAACAACGUUGGCCGUUGUAGGUUGAGGUGUAGUAACUACGUCAUCUCUUCUGCGUGGCCUGGACACUG